UGCUUCACUGUCUUCCCAUAGUAAGUAAAUUCUGCCCAGUGGAUUUUCUAAACGGCCGCGGUAUCUUGACCGUGCAAAGGUAGCAUAAUCAUUUGCCUUUUUAUUGGAGGCUAGAAUGAAUGAAUAAACAUAAGUCCCCCUUUCCCCUAUAAUAAAAUAUAAAUUAUUCUUCAGGUGAAGAAACCUGAAUUUUAUAAAAAGACAAGAAGACCCUAUCAAGCUUUAUAUUUCUACUAUCCAAUAAUUUUUAAAUAUUUGGUUGGGGCGACUAAUGAAAAAUUAUAAUCUUUCAUAAACCAUAAGAAAAACCUUUCUCAUAAUUUUUCUUAUAAAACGAAAAAGCUACUGUAGGGAUAACAGGCUUAUAUUUUCUCAGAGUUCAAAUUAAAGAAAAUGAUUGGCACCUCGAUGUUGGCUUAGGGCUCCUAUUUAUCCGCAGAAGGAAAAAAAGGUAGUUUGUUCAACUAUWAAAUCCCU
rnacentral:rRNA from 1 species